rnacentral:rRNA from 1 species
UACAGAGGUCCCAAGCGUUGUUCGGAUUCACUGGGCGUAAAGGGUGCGUAGGCGGUCGGGUAAGUCUGAUGUGAAAUCUCCAAGCUUAACUUGGAAAUGGCAUCGGAUACUAUCCGGCUGGAGGAAUGGAGGGGAGACUGGAAUUCUCGGUGUAGCAGUGAAAUGCGUAGAUAUCGAGAGGAACACCAGUGGCGAAGGCGAGUCUCUGGGCCGAUACUGACGCUGAGGCACGAAGGCCAGGGGAGCAAACGGG